rnacentral:rRNA from 1 species
CGGACGGGUGAGUAAUGUCUGGGAAACUGCCUGAUGGAGGGGGAUAACUACUGGAAACGGUAGCUAAUACCGCAUAACGUCGCAAGACCAAAGAGGGGGACCUUCGGGCCUCUUGCCAUCAGAUGUGCCCAGAUGGGAUUAGCUAGUAGGUGGGGUAACGGCUCACCUAGGCGACGAUCCCUAGCUGGUCUGAGAGGAUGACCAGCCACACUGGAACUGAGACACGGUCUAGACUCCUACGGGAGGCAGCAUG